GACGUAGGGCGCGAGCGUUGUCCGGAUUUAUUGGGCGUAAAGAGCUCGUAGGCGGCUUGUCGCGUCGACUGUGAAAACCCAUGGCUCAACCAUGCGGUCUGCAGUCGAUACGGGGCAGGCUAGAAUUCGGUAGGGGAGACUGGAAUUCCUGGUGUAGCGGUGAAAUGCGCAGAUAUCAGGAGGAACACCGGUGGCGAAGGCGGGU
rnacentral:rRNA from 1 species